rnacentral:rRNA from 1 species
GAUGAACGCUGGCGGCGUGCCUAAUACUUGCGAGUCGAGCGAACAGAUGAGGAGCUUGCUCCUCUGACGUUAGCGGCGGACGGGUGAGUAACACGUGGAUAACCUACCUAUAAGACUGGGAUAACUUCGGGAAACCGGAGCUAAUACCGGAUAAUAUAUUGAACCGCAUGGUUCAAUAGUGAAAGACGGUUUUGCUGUCACUUAUAGAUGGAUCCGCGCCGCAUUAGCUAGUUGGUAAGGUAACGGCUUACCAAGGCAACGAUGCGUAGCCGACCUGAGAGGGUGAUCGGCCACACUGGAACUGAGACACGGUCCAGACUCCUACGGGAGGCAGCAGUAGGGAAUCUUCCGCAAUGGGCGAAAGCCUGACGGAGCAACGCCGCGUGAGUGAUGAAGGUCUUCGGAUCGUAAAACUCUGUUAUUAGGGAAGAACAAAUGUGUAAGUAACUAUGCACGUCUUGACGGUACCUAAUCAGAAAGCCACGGCUAACUACGUG